rnacentral:rRNA from 1 species
UAGGGAAUCUUCGGCAAUGGACGGAAGUCUGACCGAGCAACGCCGCGUGAGUGAAGAAGGUUUUCGGAUCGUAAAGCUCUGUUGUUAGAGAAGAACGUUGGUAGGAGUGGAAAAUCUACCAAGUGACGGUAACUAACCAGAAAGGGACGGCUAACUACGUGCCAGCAGCCGCGGUAAUACGUAGGUCCCGAGCGUUGUCCGGAUUUAUUGGGCGUAAAGCGAGCGCAGGCGGUUCUUUAAGUCUGAAGUUAAAGGCAGUGGCUUAACCAUUGUACGCUUUGGAAACUGGAGGACUUGAGUGCAGAAGGGGAGAGUGGAAUUCCAUGUGUAGCGGUGAAAUGCGUAGAUAUAUGGAGGAACGCCGGUGGCGAAAGCGGCUCUCUGGUCUGUAACUGUCGCUGAGGCUCGAAAGCGUGGGGAGCAAACAGG